CCUACGGGAGGCAGCAGUGGGGAAUAUUGGACGAUGGGGGGAACCCUGAUCCAGCCAUGCCGCGUGUGUGAAGAAGGCCCUCGGGUUGUAAAGCACUUUCAGUGAGGAAGAACGCCUGGUGGUUAAUACCCAUCAGGAAAGACAUCACUCACAGAAGAAGCACCGGCUAACUCCGUGCCAGCAGCCGCGGUAAUACGGAGGGUGCGAGCGUUAAUCGGAAUUACUGGGCGUAAAGCGCGCGUAGGUGGCUUGAUAAGCCGGUUGUGAAAGCCCCGGGCUCAACCUGGGAACGGCAUCCGGAACUGUCAAGCUAGAGUGCAGGAGAGGAAGGUAGAAUUCCCGGUGUAGCGGUGAAAUGCGUAGAGAUCGGGAGGAAUACCAGUGGCGAAGGCGGCCUUCUGGACUGACACUGACACUGAGGUGCGAAAGCGUGGGUAGCAAACAGGAUUAGAUACCCUGGUAGUC
rnacentral:rRNA from 1 species